rnacentral:lncRNA from 1 species
CUCUAGAGUUACGACUAAAAUUUCGGCGGAUCAAAAUUUUUGAUCUGUAACUUUGAUUUUGAAUCCGCGAAGGGUUACGGUUUCGUAUCGAUGCCCUCGUUCUAUCCGUGAAGUUUGGGUUAGAUCCAACGGUGAUUUAUAGAUGACUCGUUUUAGGAGGCUCGGUUUACGAUCGGUAUUUGUGGUGGGGUUUCGUUUUGUCGAGGUGAGUGGAUUUGUAUAAUAUGUUUCAAAUAUUCUUAUUUGUUACCAAAAUAGUCGAAAAACAUGAUUUUAAUCUUUUACGAAAUAUCUCUCUUUUUAUAGGGAAGCAUGUCGAUAUUGCGAAAUAUGUGGUGUUUGUAUAUAUUUAUGUGUUGGAUCUAUUAUUUGACUAGUCAUGAAACAUGUGAACUUCUUGAUUGGUUAUGCCGAAGUAAGGAUGUGACACACCGAGGUAUAGGACAUGAAAGUCAUUAGGUUCCCGUGAGGAUCACUAAAUUGAUCCAAUAAAAAGGGAUUGUGCGAUGUGAUGAAUUGCAAUAAGUGAUGUGUAUACGAUAUACGUAUUUUAUAACGUGUGUAAAAUGACAUGGCUUUGCGGGCAUAUUACAUUGGUCUACUCACUGAGCGCAUGGUUAUGCUCACCCACCCAUCUUUGACAUUUUUUGCAAAAAAAUACUUAG